GGUCUCUUCGUCUAGGGGUUAGGACGUCAGGUUUUCAUCCUGGUAACAGGGGUUCGAUUCCCCUAGAGACUA
rnacentral:tRNA from 1 species